rnacentral:rRNA from 1 species
AGAGUUUGAUCCUGGCUCAGGAUGAACGCUAGCUACAGGCUUAACACAUGCAAGUCGAGGGGCAGCAUGAAGUUUGCUUGCAAACUUUGAUGGCGACCGGCGCACGGGUGAGUAACGCGUAUCCAACCUUCCCCUUAGUAGGGCAUAGCCCGGCGAAAGUCGGAUUAAUACCCUAUGUUCUUCGUAGAGGACAUCUGAAAUGAAGCAAAGGUUUACCGCUAAGGGAUGGGGAUGCGUCUGAUUAGGUAGUCGGCGGGGUAACGGCCCACCGAGCCAUCGAUCAGUAGGGGUUCUGAGAGGAAGGUCCCCCACAUUGGAACUGAGACACGGUCCAAACUCCUACGGGAGGCAGCAGUGAGGAAUAUUGGUCAAUGGGCGAGAGCCUGAACCAGCCAAGUAGCGUGCAGGACGACGGCCCUAUGGGUUGUAAACUGCUUUUAUGCGGGGAUAAAGUUCACUACGUGUAGUGUUUUGUAGGUACCGCAUGAAUAAGGACCGGCUAAUUCCGUGCCAGCAGCCGCGGUAAUACGGAAGGUCCGGGCGUUAUCCGGAUUUAUUGGGUUUAAAGGGAGCGCAGGCCGGAGGUCAAGCGUGACGUGAAAUGUGGCGGCUCAACCGCCGAACUGCGUCGCGAACUGGGAGCCUUGAGUGAGUACGACGUUGGCGGAAUUCGUGGUGUAGCGGUGAAAUGCUUAGAUAUCACGAAGAACCCCGAUUGCGAAGGCAGCUGACGAGUCCUUAACUGACGCUAAAGCUCGAAAGUGCGGGUAUCGAACAGGAUUAGAUACCCUGGUAGUCCGCACGGUAAACGAUGGAUGCCCGCUGUUGGCGACACACUGUCAGCGGCCAAGCGAAAGCGUUAAGCAACCCACCUGGGGAGUACGCCGGCAACGGNNAAACUCAAAGGAAUUGACGGGGGCCCGCACAAGCGGAGGAACAUGUGGUUUAAUUCGAUGAUACGCGAGGAACCUUACCCGGGCUUGAACUGCAGGAGAACGAUUCAGAGAUGAUGAGGUCUUCGGGACUCCUGUGGAGGUGCUGCAUGGUUGUCGUCAGCUCGUGCC